AUUGAACGCUGGCGGCAGGCCUAACACAUGCAAGUCGAGCGGCAGCGGGAAAGUAGCUUGCUACUUUUGCCGGCGAGCGGCGGACGGGUGAGUAAUGACUGGGAAAUUGCCCAGUCGAGGGGGAUAACAGUUGGAAACGACUGCUAAUACCGCAUACGCCCUACGGGGGAAAGCAGGGGACCUUCGGGCCUUGCGCGAUUGGAUAUGCCCAGGUGGGAUUAGCUAGUUGGUGAGGUAAUGGCUCACCAAGGCGACGAUCCCUAGCUGGUCGGGGAGGAUGAUCAGCCACACUGGAACUGAGACACGGUCCAGACUCCUACGGGAGGCAGCAGUGGGGAAUAUUGCACAAUGGGGGAAACCCUGAUGCAGCCAUGCCGCGUGUGUGAAGAAGGCCUUCGGGUUGUAAAGCACUUUCAGCGAGGAGGAAAGGUUGAUGCCUAAUACGUAUCAACUGUGACGUUACUCGCAGAAGAAGCACCGGCUAACUCCGUGCCAGCAGCCGCCGUAAGAC
rnacentral:rRNA from 1 species